UGGAAGCCCCAAGACACAUGAAUUAAUGGAUCCUACUAAACUUGGAUUGUUUACCGAAGAGCUUGAUGUGUGGGCUGCUGACUAUCUGUUUCCAAUGCUGACUGUGUGUAACCGCCUGUUCAUGGAGUUGCUGUUUCUGAGUGCUGGCCUUCCUACCUCACAUCUAUGAGCUG